rnacentral:rRNA from 1 species
UACGUAGGGGGCAAGCGUUGUCCGGAAUUAUUGGGCGUAAAGAGCGCGUAGGCGGUCCGAUAAGUCGGCUGUGAAAGUCAAGGGCUCAACCCUUGGAAGCCGGCCGAUACUGUCGGACUAGAGUCCGGAAGAGGCAAGUGGAAUUCCCGGUGUAGCGGUGAAAUGCGCAGAUAUCGGGAGGAACACCAAUGGCGAAGGCAGCUUGCUGGGACGGUACUGACGCUGCGGCGCGAAAGCGUGGGGAGCAAACAGG